rnacentral:rRNA from 1 species
UGGCAUUGUUGGUUUCUCCCUUCUGACGAACCAUGAUGUCAUUUAUUUGGUGUUGUGGGGAAUCAGGACUGUUACUUUGAAAAAAUUAGAGUGUUUAAAGCAGGCUCACGCUUGAAUACAUUAGCAUGGAAUAAUGAAAUAGGACGUUUGAUUCUAUUUUGUUGGUUUCUAGGAUCGACGUAAUGAUUAAUAGGGAUAGUUGGGGGCAUUAGUAUUCAAUUGUCAGAGGUGAAAUUCUUGGAUUUAUUGAAGACUAACUACUGCGAAAGCAUUUGCCAAGGAUGUUUUCAUUAAUCAAGAACGAAAGUUAGGGGAUCGAAGACGAUCAGAUACCGUCGUAGUCUUAACCAUAAACUAUGCCGACUAGGGAUCGGAUGAUGUUAAUUUUUUAAUGACUCAUUCGGCGCCUUACG